UAGCUCAGUUGGUAGAGCAUGGGAGUCUUAAUCUCAGGGUUGUGGAUUCGAGCCCCAAAUUGUGCAAAA